CUCGCAGUAUAUUUUUGUGUUUUGUUUAUUAUAAAAAUCAAAUCACAGGAUUAUACUGUGAG
rnacentral:pre_miRNA from 15 species